GGGGCUGACCGGUUUUGACAGUAGGAGUAAGGACUGGGCUCGCAUGCAGGCUGGAGUAUGUACGGCCUUGAAAGAUUCAUACGAACCAUACUUGGCGAAUCUAAUUACGCCAUGGCUGCCUAAUCUACCCCUUCGGGGAAUAGAUACUGCUUAAAGGGUUGAGCUUCGAUAGUUGCUCCCCGGCCACAUCCCACUACCCGUUGCACUGUCCGGGUAGAGUUGGGGUGUCGACUUGACGGUGCUGCUCCCUGUGAGGCUACUAAGCAGGGCUAAGAUGAGUGGCUAAGCCGGAAGUAGGUGUGUCACCCAGCAGCUUUCGGCCGACAAUCCAAUCGGUGACUAAGCAUGUAGACGGUACGGUGUUUCCCUAUCUGGACGCGGGUUCGAAUCCCGCCAGCUCCACUU
rfam:Cyclobacterium lianum strain CGMCC 1.6102 genome assembly, contig: Ga0070154_117